UACAGAGGGGGCAAGCGUUGUUCGGAAUUACUGGGCGUAAAGGGCGCGUAGGCGGCCUUCUAAGUCGAACGUGAAAUCCCCGGGCUCAACCCGGGAACUGCGUCCGAUACUGGAAGGCUUGAAUCCGGGAGAGGGAUGCGGAAUUCCAGGUGUAGCGGUGAAAUGCGUAGAUAUCUGGAGGAACACCAGUGGCGAAAGCGCGUGACUGGACCAUAACUGACGCUGAGGAACGAAAGCCAGGGUAGCGAAAGGG
rnacentral:rRNA from 1 species